UACGAAGGGGGCUAGCGUUGCUCGGAAUCACUGGGCGUAAAGGGUGCGUAGGCGGGUCUUUAAGUCAGGGGUGAAAGCCCGGGGCUCAACUCCGGAAUUGCCUUUAAAACUGCAUCGCUAGAAUUGUGGAGAGGUAAGUGGAAUUCCGAGUGUAGAGGUGAAAUUCGUAGAUAUUCGGAAGAACACCAGUGGCGAAGGCGACUUACUGGACACAUAUUGACGCUGAGGUGCGAAAGCGUGGGGAGCAAACAGG
rnacentral:rRNA from 1 species